rnacentral:lncRNA from 1 species
CCCAACUGUUGACCCAAGGCUCAAAGUUCCCAGCCUGACCCCUGACCCUCGCCCCGGAAGUCGGGGUGACUCGGAAGUUCCGGCUCAGUCGCUAGGAAACGAGCGAGCCCGACGCCAGGGGCGGAGCUCUGGCCUCCUCGCCGAGUUGGGGGAGGCAGGUGCGACAGGAGAAUGGACAGUAAGAAGGGGAGACCCAAAGCUGCAGCUGGGAAGUGGCAGACGCUCCACCCUGGGCCCAAGACAAGAGCUGCUGCUGGGAAGCCCGGGGAGAACCGCCCGCCGCAGAGGAAAGCGGGCUGGCAGGCGAGGGAGCCCGCGUCGGCUGAGAGCCCACAGGCCCCCACAGGGACACCUGGUCGCCAUCACAUGGACACGCUAUUUUUGCACUCGAGGCUAUUCCAGGAAGUCCAUCCAGACAGAGCACGCCUUCCCCAGCCUCCUCUUAUUGGCCUGCAGCCCUGCUCUCCCCACGUCUGGUGAUCUGUAAAGAGGGCUUGUUCUGCGUGGGUGGGACCUGCUCUAGAUCCAUCUUGGAAAAUGAGCUCAUGCCGUUGGUGUAACCACCAUUCCUGCCCCCAUGCCACUCUGCCCCGGGGCCUGCUGGCUGACGUCCAUGGUGCAGUCGUGAUGUCCACGAGCCUGUCUGUGCCCUCGCUGCGGCCGACUCUCUCUAGGAGCGUCCCCACAGGAUGCAGAACCUCCCUUUGAGCUCGGUGUUCCCUGCUCCUCACAGAGCCACCCCCAAGCCUUUCCCAGCUGUCCGCAUCACCACUGUCCCGGGCUCGUUCACUUCAGGCCCUGGAGAGCCAGCCCAGCCCUCACUGGUGUCCGGAGUCAGUGAUACACAGCGCUCAAGUGACUCUUCCCACCCACAGGAAGUGGGUGAUGAGGUGCCCCCCGGGGGCUUCCCUUGCUGCUGCCCGCCAGGAUCUCCCUGCUUGGGACUACAGCAUGCGGGGGAGGUCAGGCUGGAGUUGGUGUGGGAGCCUUUCCCAGCCUUUCCUCUGCAUUGGUGCCCUCCCCAGGAGGCAUCUGAGCUGCAAAAGGGGCGAAUGCGAUGUAGACACUUGGGCCCCGGGACUCGCCUGUGUCAUCUGGGCUGGGCCCCACAAACACCACAAACACCUUUUCCACCACGCAAUAGAUGGCUGCUGGGCUGCCCAGGGGUGUGAUGUGGAGCUGGGAAACCCAGCCUGGGAAGGCAGCAUUCCAGGAGCUGCUUUCCAAAAGAAGAAUAGCCUCCACCAGGAAGGUGUGGCUGAGCCCCAGAGCCCCAGAAACCUGCGGGAAGCUCCAAAGGGGGGCCUGCCAGAGGAUACACAACCACCCUACCUCCUGCACACGGGAUCCUCCAACCAGACAGUGUGGCCCAAGCAGCCUGGCUACUUUCACCUUAGCCAGCAGCCCUGGGCCACACUGGGGAUGGUCCCAAACAUGGCCUGUGCUGCUGUCACGGUGCUAAGGGGCCUGGCAAGCACGGGGUCUUUCUUGCUGGACGGAGGCACAGGUGCCAGAAUCUAUCUUUUGCCCUACAGUGUCCCGGCACAGCCUAGAUCUAUGGACCCCUUCACCGGGUGCUUUAUCCCCCACCCCCCAGAACUCCUGGGACCAUUGAGAUGCCCAGGAGAUGGGGGGGCCCUGUGCCUGUGUCCCGUUGCUGCUAUAGCAGCCACCACAUCUACCAGCUCUGCAGGGUAGCCACCGGGCACGGCCUUGCCAGGCUGACGUCGAGGAAAGCCAGCCGUGCUGUGGGUUUCCUUCCCUCUGGCUCUCCACUUCUGCCUCCCUCUUCCACUGUUUUUGGUUUGGGUUUUUGUUUUGUUCCGUUUUGUUUUUUUUUGAGACAGGGUCAGCUGUCUUGCCCAGGCUGGAGUUCAGGGGCUAUUCCCAGGUGUAACCCUAGCUCACUGCAACCUCCAACUGCUGGGCUUAAGUGAUCCUCCUGCCUCAGCCUGAGUAGCUGGGACUACAGGUGUGUGCUCCCAC